rnacentral:rRNA from 1 species
ACUCCUACGGGAGGCAGCAGUGGGGAAUAUUGCACAAUGGGGGAAACCCUGAUGCAGCCAUGCCGCGUGUGUGAAGAAGGCCUUCGGUUGUAAAGCACUUUCAGUAGGGAGGAAGGUAGUGUAGUUAACACCUGCAUUAUUUGACGUUACCUACAGAAGAAGCACCGGCUAACUCCGUGCCAGCAGCCGCGGUAAUACGGAGGGUGCGAGCGUUAAUCGGAAUUACUGGGCGUAAAGCGCAUGCAGGCGGCCUGUUAAGUCAGAUGUGAAAGCCCGGGGGCUUAACCUCGGAAUUGCAUUUGAAACUGGCAGGCUAGAGUCUUGUAGAGGGGGGUAGAAGUUU